rnacentral:rRNA from 1 species
UACAGAGGGUGCAAGCGUUGUUCGGAAUUAUUGGGCGUAAAGCGCGUGUAGGCGGCUUUGCAAGUCGGGUGUGAAAUCCCUCAGCUUAACUGAGGAAGUGCGCCCGAAACUGCUUUGCUUGAGUGCCGGAGAGGAUGGCGGAAUUCCCCAAGUAGAGGUGAAAUUCGUAGAUAUGGGGGAGGAACACCGGUGGCGAAGGCGGCCAUCUGGACGGUAACUGACGCUGAGACGCGAAAGCGUGGGGAGCAAACAGG